rnacentral:pre_miRNA from 1 species
AGUAGGAUAGCUGGGCCAAAUGGUGGUUCCAUUCCAAGUUUUCUGAGGAAUCUCCAUACUGCUUUCCAGAGUGUUGCACCAAUUUGCAGUCCCACCGGCAAU